rnacentral:lncRNA from 1 species
GCAAUAACAGGGAUUGUAUUUCAUGAUAGAUGUAUAACGUUUUAGAAUCAAAAACUUUAAUUCAUAUAUUAUACUUAUAAAUUUUGAUUUCCUUAUAUCUUAUAUAUUCAGAAAUAAUGAGUUCACAAACUAGAUGGAAUAAUUUUUAUACGCUCGUCUUAGUCGGGAAAUAAAAUGGUAUAAAGAAGUCCGUCCAUGCUUUUGUAUAUCCGGUCUGUCAACAGUAGUAAAUGAGUUCGUUACGGCAAACUUCUGAAAUUGACGUGAUAAAAAAACCACACUUAUAUAGUCUGAUAUAGUCAAAUACUCUGUAGUUAUCCAGUGCCAUCUUUCAUUUCUUUUUUUUUCAAUAAUUUUGCUUAUGAGGGGCAGAGGACAAAAACAGAUUUUCCUAACAAAAGCGGCGAGAAAGGUUAUUUCAAACAAUUUUCCAUUCCGACGGAUGGGGUUUCUGAAGGUUAUUAUUGUGAGGCAACAACAUCAUAAGAUCUGAUACUGACACGUGCAUUUAAUCUCUUGUAUUACCGGAUAAUAAAGUAGGUGAAUAUAGCUGUUAGUCUUGGAAAUUUAAAUGUGGGUUUCAAACGUCCAAUUUGCGAUUGUUUUCAAAUAGUGCGCCAGCAAGGAAAGUUUGUACUAUGACGUCAGAUGCAAUGUU